AAAACACUUACAAAAAAAAAUGCCCAGUGAUUUAGAAGUGGGUGUGUGUGACCGUGAGAACAAGACCAAGGGGGAAACCCUAUUUCUUCAAAAUCUUGCAAAUUAAAGGAGAAAAGGGCUAAAUUUUGAAUGCAUGAACUAAGAAUGAUGAUCAUCUAAGCAUACCCAACAUCAAGAACGUGUCAAGGAGAGGUCAAGCAUAGGAGGAUAACGGGUCAAGAUAAGGCAAGGUGACAAAUACACUUAUUGGAGUACUCGAGGUAUGGGAUCGUUGGCUUCAUGAAGAAAUGGAGCUGGAUUUGGAUAAGAGUAUCGCUUGGGUUUUCUCUACAUUUAUUGAAGUGAAGCGGACUUAGUUCGAGUUGAGAGCAAGGAUUGUACGGGGUAGAAUGGUCACAUAGUGUAACUCAUAUAGGUUUUGAAGUAUUAAUGUUAUAAAACGUUAUAAAUCCGUUUUAAUGAAUAUAUGGCAUUUCGCAUUU
rnacentral:lncRNA from 1 species